GUAGUCAUAUGCUUGUCUCAAAGAUUAAGCCAUGCAUGUCUAAGUAUAAACAAAUUUGUACUGUGAAACUGCGAAUGGCUCAUUAAAUCAGUUAUAGUUUAUUUGAUGGUACCUUGCUACAUGGAUAACUGUGGUAAUUCUAGAGCUAAUACAUGCACAUCAAGCCCCGACUUCCGGAAGGGGUGUAUUUAUUAGAUAAAAAACCAACGCGGUUCGCCGCUCCAUUGGUGAUUCAUAAUAACUUCUCGAAUCGCACGGCCUUGUGCUGGCGAUGCUUCAUUCAAAUAUCUGCCCUAUCAACUUUCGAUGGUAGGAUAGUGGCCUACCAUGGUUUCAACGGGUAACGGGGAAUA
rnacentral:rRNA from 1 species